GAGCGGCCGUAGCAAUACGGCAGCGGCAGACGGGAGAGUAACACGUGGGAACGCGCCCUUCGGUUCGGAAUAACUCAGGGAAACUUGGGCUAAUACCGGAUACGCCCUUACGGGGAAAGAUUUAUCGCCGAAGGAACGGCCCGCGUCCGAUUAGCUUGUUGGUGAGGUAACGGCUCACCAAGGCGACGAUCGGUAGCUGGUCUGAGAGGAUGACCAGCCUCACUGGGACUGAGACACGGCCCAGACUCCUACGGGAGGCAGCAGUGGGGAAUAUUGGACAAUGGGCGCAAGCCUGAUCCAGCCAUGCCGCGUGGGUGAUGAAGGCCCUAGGGUUGUAAAGCCCUUUCGGCGGGGAAGAUAAUGACGGUACCCGCAGAAGAAGCCCCGGCUAACUUCGUG
rnacentral:rRNA from 1 species